rnacentral:rRNA from 1 species
UACGGAGGGAGCUAGCGUUGUUCGGAAUUACUGGGCGUAAAGCGCGCGUAGGCGGCUUUGUAAGUUAGAGGUGAAAGCCCGGGGCUCAACCCCGGAACUGCCUUUAAGACUGCAUCGCUUGAAUCCAGGAGAGGUGAGUGGAAUUCCGAGUGUAGAGGUGAAAUUCGUAGAUAUUCGGAAGAACACCAGUGGCGAAGGCGGCUCACUGGCUCGAUACUGACGCUGAGGUGCGAAAGCGUGGGGAGCAAACAGG